rnacentral:SRP_RNA from 1 species
GCUGGGUGUGGUGGCGCACACCUGUAGUCCCAGCUACUUGGGAGGCUGAGGCAGGAGAAUCGCUUCAACCCAGGAGGCGGAGGCUGCAGUGAGCCGAGAUCGCACCACUGCACUCCAGCCUGGGUGACAGAGUGACACUCUGUCUCAA